AAUUCUAUAGAUCAAGUUUCACCGGACAGGAACUAUUUGAUUCAGCGGGUUGACAUCUUCACUUAGCCUGAGGGCAGAGCCAGCGUGACACUGUUAGUUUAAUCAGGCAUUACGCUACUCAAAUUGACUGUGUGUUUGCCUGUGAGUACGAAAGUGUGAGUGUGAGGGAGUCUUUUUAAUUUCAUUUGCAUACAGAUACAUCGCACUUCCGGUCAAAUUGCUGUGUCUCAGCCCCUAGAUCAAAAGUGGCAAAUAGUUGUUUGGGACUUUGAUAUAUGGAACUUAACCUUACUUUCAAAUCACCUUUCAGUAGGAAAGGUUGUCACCUAUAAUGUUAUUCGUGCCAGAAUGCAUUAUCAUUGGGGCACACCUUCUUCGAGUUUUCCAGUGUCUUUAUUGGCAUAGUGGUCCAAUAGGCAAGCUACUCUCUCUCUUUCUCUCUCUCUCUUUCUCUCUCUCACUGUCCAUUGAAGCAUCCAUCUUGCAGGCCACCUAAAUUCACUUUGAUACUGCGUUGACAUUUUGUUCUCAGUAAAACUCUAAGGGCCAGUUUAUCAAAGUUGUGUUGACGAUAGGGCUGCUGAUCCAGCGGUCUUGGUUGUAAUCUUGGAAUUGGGAGAAUGUACCUUAUGGACCUAGACUCUUUUAUUAGUCUCUACCACUGCCUACUAAUUAAUCAAGUCUGGUCAACUAAAUAGAAACACACACACAAACUUUGAGCAAUCAUUCAGUAUAACUGAGACUGACUAUCUUUCUCUCUUUCUCUCUCUUCAUAUGUGUAUAAGUUUUUUUUACAUACAAUAAAAUCGUAUCUUUUAAUUUUCAAAAAAAAAAAAACUGUAUAAAGACACACACACACACGUUCUAAAACAACACAUUAGUUUAAGAAAGUGACCUAUUUGUUUAAAAUACACAACACACUAUGUGUAGUCUAAUAAUAGACUCGCUUUUAUAUUGGCAAAGAGCCACUGGCGUUGAGAGAGAGGAGGGGAAACAAAAAGGGCGGAGGGGGUGGGGGCUCUAUUUACUUAACAAAUAAUAGAGCAGAAUAAAAUUUUGCUGAAAAAUUACUGCCCUACAGCCCAUUAAAUAACAUGGUAGAGUUCUGGGAUACAUAGCACUAAUGUCCCUGAAGGAAUCGUGGUCCACCAAGUCCGCUGACCAAAUCAACUUCUUUUAAGUGCAUUUCACUUUGACUUCAGGUCUUCAAAUGUCGACUGGACAAUGGAUGCAGACGUCGCAAAUGUCAUGUACAAUGUGUAUAUAUAGCCCGGAGAGCGAGCGCAUGACAUUGUCUGGUGGACGGGGAGGGGAGACACAGGAACUACUUAAAACACAAAUGCAUAGAGAAAGAAUGGACCAGUGGUGCGUGACUCUUCUGAAAGCAGGUCCGGUUCAGAACAACAACAAGAAAACUUCCAAACCCCAGUCUGAACUUCGAACUCAAGACCUUGACCUUGAGACCUUAACCUCGAGACAGUUCCGAUACGACUUCAGGAAAGUUACAAUUGUCGCUUUGUUAGUCAGUCAGUACACGAUGCUGUAAGAUGAAAUCAAUCAAAUGUAUAAUGUAACCAUUUUUGGAGGUUUGUAAUUAUGCAAUGCUAGGACAUUGUGCGCAUCAGUCGAAUUUUGGUGCCGAGGGCUAAGCCCUUAUCUUUCCAUAUUAUUUUAAGUUUUGAAAGGGCUGCUGUGGACUGUGCUAUUCGGGCCAAGAGUUCGGGUUUUGUUCCCUCAUCUACGGGGCUCGCAAAGACCUUCCUUCAGGGAACAGUGCCAGGAAAAGAAGAGGCAGACAGAAAAAGCGAUGGGAGGACAACAUUAAAGAAUGGACGGGCCUGCCAUUGAGAGAGGUUCUAAACAAGGCAAAAAAAAAAAAAAAAGGGAGGAAUGGAGAAAGACGGUCGACAAGUCUUGCCUGGUGCCCCAACGGUCCAACAGACUAAGGGAUAGGUAAAGGUAAAGGACAUUGUGAUAAGUGGUAGAGCGCUCAGCUUCCAAAUAGAUGGUCUCGAGUUUAAAUCUCAUUGAAGGCUGGGAUUUUGAAUUUCAUGAUUUUUUAGAACGCCCGGUCCCUAAAUCCACCUAACUCGAGGAUACCUGACACUUGAUGAGGAAAGUAAACGCGGUAAAUCGUUGUGCUGGCCACACGACACACUGCUCGUUAACCGUUGACCAAAGAAACAAAUGACCUUUACAUCACCUUCCCCAUAGACCAUAGAACGCAAGGUCUGAAAAGUUCACUUUACUUUUUUAUUACUUCAUAAUUUGUAUCAGUUGAUAUUUUGAAGUGUGUGUUCAAAUUUUUCAACGUAACCUACGAGUAAUACUAUGGCGGAUAAUUGGUUUGUAUUGGUGGAAGAGAUUCUGAUGUAACCCACGAGCAAGGUUACAUAUUAAGGGAUUGAACGUGGACGCCAGGGGGAGACAGUGACAGAAAGACGAGUAGUUUAAAGUCUUACGUUUUAAAUUGUUCAGGAGAAUAUUUCACUAGUGUCUCCACAUAAAUCUACAUUGAACUUAUCAGCUGAAAAGAUGGUCAAUAAACGUUGUGUUCAUGUUUUCGCUAGAAAAAGAA